rnacentral:lncRNA from 1 species
CCAUCUAAUUCAACACAAAACACGAGGGGGUGAUUAACACGGUUAAUUAACGCUCAAUGCUUAAUAUAUAUUACCCAUCAUAAUCAUAUACAAACACAUAACAAACCCACACAUAAUAUAAUUAACUAUAUAAUGUGUGUGAAAAUAUAGGGAUUACACGGCGGCUGCAGCUCUCCCUCCUUUGCCGGGUUUUGCGGUGGCUGCCACCGUCGAUUCCUUGGCCGAUGCCGAUUUGCCUUUCUCUUUCCUCUCGUCUUGUGCCAUUUGCUGUUGCCUGCACUCUGAGCUACAAAAGGCCGUAUCUCCCCUGCCAUUUUAAUUACACCAAAAUUAUCACUUUAAUUAUAAAACAAAUUAUCUAAUAUUAUCAUAAAUCAUAGGGAAAACCUUAUACCCCUUUAAGUUAAUUACUUUUCUUUGCUCCAUAAAAAGGAUUAUAACAUAGAAAAAACAAAAACACACACGAUUUAAAGUGGUUCACUUUCACUUUCACGAAUUUCUCUACGACCAAAAUUCAAGAGUUUGCAGGUUUAAUUUCUUUCCGAUGAUAUUAUUUGUUAUAUAUAUACCUAUACAUAUAGAUGUCGCGGCCGGGAACAAGAAGGCGUUCACAGAGGGAGCAAGAUCUCAAGAAAUG